UGGUGACCUGCGGAGGACAUUAUUGAGUUAUUGUCUAAUUCCUGGUGGCUCUUGCUUGUGCCGUUGGGACGUUUUCCCACACCCUCUUGUGACCACCGGCCUUUGGUUUAUUUUACUGGUAUAUUAUUUUACCCCCUUUAAUGUAAUGAAAUCUUUUUGUGUUAAGCACUUAGGUCCUGGUCUUCAUGACUGAUCUCUUGGCUCUCGCAUCGAUGGUGAAUUCAACAAAUAGGUAUAAGUAAUGUGAUUUGCCCACUUAUUGGAAUCAUCGAAUCUUUGAACACAUCUUGCGUUUUUGUCAUUCCAAAGGGUAUGCACGUUUGAGUGGGUUAUGGGGAUCCACUAUCCAAUGCGCCCGACAGCCCCGGAUUUGGAUGUUGCCUGGUACUUAGUGUGGUGUUCAUCUUAAAUGAAUGAGUGCGACUGUCAGUUAAGCAUACUACGGGGGUAGCAGGGGAUAAUCACUCUUUUCUGUCUGAUUAGGAGGGAUGCCCUUCUAACCUUCUCAUCUCAAUAUAUGAAACUUUCACCUCCGAUCGAGUAGGAUUACCCGCUGAACUUCUCCUCUCAAAAGCGGCGGGAAGAACCUUUGAUCUCAAAUAGGGCGGGGAGUACCCGCUGAACUUAAGCUAUCAAUAAGGGGGAGGGAAG
rnacentral:sRNA from 1 species